rnacentral:rRNA from 1 species
UACGGGGGGAGCAAGCGUUGUUCGGAUUUACUGGGCGUAAAGGGCGCGUAGGCGGUCAGCACAAGUCAGUUGUGAAAUCUCCGGGCUUAACUCGGAAAGGUCAACUGAUACUGUGCGACUAGAGUGCAGAAGGGGCAACUGGAAUUCUCGGUGUAGCGGUGAAAUGCGUAGAUAUCGAGAGGAACACCUGCGGCGAAGGCGGGUUGCUGGGCAGUAACUGACGUGAGGAGCGAAAGCGUGGGGAGCGAACAGG